UCCUGCUGUGCGGGGCCUCCUUCCGGCCCGGCGCGCCCGAGAGGUGACCUCGCGGGUGUGCUCCCCUGCCUGGAGCAGGGAGGAGCUCGCAGCCGCCUGUAGGUGUGGCGGAGCUUUGUCCCGCUGUCCGUCGGUCCCUGCAAGUCCCCUGAUCGAGGCUUGUAGGAGAGGCUGGGGGCAUUCCUUCAUUCCGGCACCAGCACAAAAAGUAGAACAGCCCUGUCUUCCUGGGGCUUUGGUUCCAGUUGCAGUGAAACAUCCAAUAAAGUCGAACCAGUGGGCUGUCUGAUGAAUACAAGGAGAGGACAAACGGGAGAGAGUAGUCGAGACGGUGACUUAAGACCUGAAGGAAGGGACUUAGUGGUAAAGUACUGCCCAGCACCACAUAAAACCGGGCUUGGCCAUGCAAACCGUAACUCUAGAAGGUGAUGAAGAAACAUCAGGAUUCAAGGUCAGUCUCAGCUACAUAGCGAUUUUGAGGUCAAGAUGGGCUGCAUAAAAUCCUGUCUCAAAAAGACCCGAAGGAAGCAGAGGAACGUACCACGGGAAUGCUUUUGGUCGAGCAUGCUGUCCAGUGUGACUAGCGUGGAGAAAAGAAUGGAGUUACGAUGAUAAUGGCUCAUAAUUUUGAGCAGCUUUCAGUGUGGACUGAAAACCAGUGGCUCUCCAGGAAUCUUCCAGGGUUUUAACACCAAGUUUGGACUACUGAGGCAUCCAACCUCAUGGAUUGAGUAGCUCUGGGAUUCUCAGCCUUUCCAGUAUGGGCACAGACAUUGUUGGAUUACUCAAACCGUAUUGUGUAAGACACCAAUGUAAUAAAUCUCCUUUUAACAUUCA